GUGUUUGUGGCCUGCCAAGGCGAUGCUUGGUGUCCCACCGGCAAGUGCGUAGAAUGUGAUGUGGAAAGACUUGUUUCGCGUGUUCUGCGUACCGGGGUUCGAUUGGGCAGCCUGCCCGGUCAAUAGGGCCGUGGGUAUUUACAGAUAGCGCUAUCCGAUGACAGCACGCGUGGCACGCUUGUAUAUAAACUCGCCGCGGCCUCUCGACUGAGCAUCAUCUGACGGACGAACAGUUCCUCGGCAGAUAAAACAUGAUCAGCACCAAGACCCUCCUUGUCGGACUCCUCGUCCUGGCCCUGGUGUUCACCAUCGCCACGGCACAGUACGGAGGCUUCGGCGGCGGCGGACGUGGAUUCGGCGGCGGUGGACGCGGCUAUGGCGGCGGUGGACGCGGCUACGGCGGCGGAGGACGGGGCUUCGGUGGCGGACGUGGUUACGGCGGCGGAGGACGGGGCUUCGGUGGCGGCUACAGAGGAUGAUUCUCGGUUGCCACGAAUGCGCGUCACUCUGUGAUUUGACAACACCGAGGCCGAGUGCCGAACCAAAUGCUGCGCGUUGUGCUCAAAGAGACUUGCGAGAUCCGGCUGGACCUGUGAUCGCGGACCUCCGAGAAGUUGUUGUGGCUCUGUUGAACAUGGCAUCGAAUAAACAUUGCCUUCUGUGAGUGGCGUACACAUA